rnacentral:ncRNA from 1 species
CACAUUGGAAGGCACACCCGUACGAAAGACGGGGUCGCAAAGCCUCCGGUCUACCACUCCGCAUGCGGGGCCAGGAUAGCGGGGCUGCCGAA